rnacentral:rRNA from 1 species
AUUGAACGCUGGCGGAAUGCUUUACACAUGCAAGUCGAACGGCAGCACGGGAGCUUGCUCCUGGUGGCGAGUGGCGAACGGGUGAGUAAUAUAUCGGAACGUAUCCAAUAAUGGGGGAUAACUAAUCGAAAGGUUGGCUAAUACCGCAUACGCCCUGAGGGGGAAAGCUGGGGAUCGUAAGACCUAGCGUUAAUGGAGCGGCCGAUAUCGGAUUAGCUAGUUGGUGGGGUAAAGGCCUACCAAGGCGACGAUCCGUAGCUGGUCUGAGAGGACGACCAGCCACACUGGAACUGAGACACGGUCCAGACUCGUACGGGAGGCAGCAGUGGGGAAUUUUGGACAAUGGGCGCAAGCCUGAUCCAGCCAUGCCGCGUGAGUGAAGAAGGCCUUCGGGUUGUAAAGCUCUUUCGGCCGGGAAGAAAUCGUACGGGUUAAUACCCUGUGCGGAUGACGGUACCGGCAUAAGAAGCACCGGCUAACUACGUGCCAGCAGCCGCAGUAAUAC